AUAUUAGAGGGUCAGAAUUAUGUCCAGCCGUAGUAAGAUAAGGCCAUAAGGAGUAAGGACCAUAAAAAGUGAAAAACGUUUCAGAAUUUUGUCUCAGUAACCAAGUUCGUAAAUGGUUCAGUGAAAUGAUAUCAAAGAACGUAGUCCAAGUAGUCGCUGAGUGUGAUUCUUAAUCUAUGAUUUUAUGUUCAGUUCACGCGGCGAUAUAAUUCUUGAAAACGUAUAAUGAAUGUGGGAUGCACCUUUUAAAAUCACUGGAGAAUUAGUAAGUCAGGGUUGACAAUAUCUUUUCAGAAAUUCCCAAUAACCCUAAAAUGAAGAGGGAAAAAGGGAACCUGUAAAAGUGACUUCCACUUGGAGAUUCGCACAGAUGCUGUAUGCAUGAAAAUAUCAUGUCGUGAUUUGAAAAUCAAAAUGCUGUGUUUCCCAUAAACGAUUUAGUUUAGACCAAUUUCAAUUUUCUUCCUAGUGCAUAUAUAUAUUCAGGUCGGAGGACAUCUGUAGUUGUUUCCAUAAAAGGGAAGCCCUUCUCCAGCAUGCCCGCUGAAUUUUAGGAAUGAUAUUAGUGGAAGUUGUUAUAGUUGAAAUCCUCAUGGAGCAAUAAGAUGCUCAUUAGAAACUCGAGUAAUUCUGAGAAGCAAAGAAAAGAAAAAUGAAAACCCAAGAUAAGAUCCACAAAUAGUCUGCCUAUGAGAUGGAAGAUCUUGAGCACCCAACUAGGAGGAAGAUUGGCCGCUUUUUCUUGGAGUGCUUGAAGAUUUGAAAACAUGGUGGAAUUUGACUUCGGCCAUAAACAUCCUGCUAACAUAGUCCCAACGAACGGAAAAUGGUGAAAGGAACAUGGAAACCUGACAGGAUAUGAAAAGAUACUGACGUGACACCACUAUUUCGUUCCUCUCCUUCAUGCAAAGCCCCCAUUACCAUGCCAGAACUGCUGAGAGCAGACAAAAGCUUAUUUUAUUUCUCAGGGAGUUGGAGAUCGACAACAACAAAUAAACUUACUGCAAAGAUACGUUUUAGUUGAAGGAAAUCUAUACCUUAAAGUAGUGUGUUGUUUCAUAUGUGCUAAUACUUUCGGAAUUCCCCAGAAUUAAAUCAAAUCAUGAAUCAGCAACUCUGCCUUACAAAUUAACUUUGGGAAAAUUUAUGGUCGGGAUUUGUUCUCAAAAUUAUUGCUCGAGGAAUGGUACAAGUUGGCCUGCCCAUGCUUGAAAGUCCUCUGCUCCGAUGAUUUUGAAUACAGAUUUUACCAUCUUCACGUUUUAUUGGCUUUUUGAAAUGAAAUUGUAUCUCUGGAGUUCAAGAUCAGAUUUCAUUUGUUUAUUUGUUUAAACAUUAUACAUAUCAAAAGAUUAUGACGGUCAAUGUUUAUCUGCGUAAA